GAUAACCCGGGAAACUGGGUAUAAUACCCGAUAGGUCUCGAUUGCUGGAAUGCAUCGAGAUUUAAAGCUCCGGCGCCUAAGGAUGGGUCUGCGGCCUAUCAGGUAGUAGUGGGUGUAGCGUACCUACUAGCCUACGACGGGUACGGGUUGUGAGAGCAAGAGCCCGGAGAUGGAUUCUGAGACACGAAUCCAGGCCCUACGGGGUGCAGCAGGCGCGAAAACUUUACAAUGCUGGCAACAGCGAUAAGGGAACCUCGAGUGCCAGGUUACAAAUCUGGCUGUCGAGAUGCCUAAAAAGCAUUUCAUAGCAAGGGCCGGGCAAGACCGGUGCCAGCCGCCGCGGUAACACCGGCGGCUCGAGUGGUAACCGUUAUUAUUGGGUCUAAAGGGUCUGUAGCCGGCCGGAUAAGUCUCUUGAGAAAUCUGGCAGCUUAACUGUCAGGCUUUCAGGAGAUACUGUCUGGCUCGAGGCCGGGAGAGGUGAGAGGUACUUCAGGGGUAGGGGUGAAAUCUUGUAAUCCUUGAAGGACCACCAGUGGCGAAGGCGUCUCACCAGAACGGACCUGACGGCAAGGGACGAAAGCUAGGGGCACGAACCGGAUUAGAUACCCGGGUAGUCCUAGCCGUAAACGAUACUCGCUAGGUGUCGGCCACGGUGCGACCGUUGUCGGUGCCGUAGGGAAGCCGUGAAGCGAGCCACCUGGGAAGUACGGCCGCAAGGCUGAAACUUAAAGGAAUUGGCGGGGGAGCACCACAACGGGUGGAGCUUGCGGUUUAAUUGGAUUCAACGCCGGAAAUCUUACCGGGACCGACAGCAAUAUGAAGGCCAGGCUGAAGACUUUGCCGGAUUAGCUGAGAGGUGGUGCAU
rnacentral:rRNA from 1 species